rnacentral:lncRNA from 1 species
CCACACUAAUUGGUCCGUGGAGAGCAAGUCCAACCGGCAUGAGUGACACCAACGCGAAAGCACAAAGCCCGUCUCCGGAGUGGCACUCGUGGGAGCUACCCAACCGAGUAUGCAGCGUAUCUCUGUCGAGCUCAAUCAGGCUCUCAAAAGCCAAAGUCCAGUAAUCGACUCAAACUGGUCUAACAACCAACAGGUAUCGUGUCCUUGGCACAAUCCAACGCCAAAAAGGCGAUACGGGUCCACCGUCAAUCCUGAUGGCACCCAACAAUCAAGAACAGCCUGAACGCUACAGUAAAAAUACACUCGGCAUCUCAGCACAAGCGUAACUGAAAACUAAACUACCUGGAAUACUUACUUUGAGGAUACUGCAAUAGUAUAAAUUAAUACAACGGCCCCUAGGGCUAAAUCAGGUAGUUUAAACAGGUGACAGGUCCCAAAACGCUUGUUUUCUCCUAAGUCAAGUUCCAAGUCCAACAUGUAUAUUUACUUAAUUUAUUAUCACAUGCUCCAAAUUCAGAUUAGCCAUUCACAUAAUAAUCCAUGAAUUCGAGCUAAAGUAAACUACACAAAAUCCAAAAUUCAUACAUGUUGACUACUAAGCACUUAGGAGUAUAAACCGAUGAUUAACCCACCUCGCUCGCUAAUCCCUGGCAGCACGGAACUCCCCUCGGCUGCGGAACAACCUGCCGAAACGUCCGAAAACCUCCCAAGGUCCGAAGUCAAGCUCCCGCCAAACUCUACACGGAGAAUCCGACAAUAAGCAUUAAUUCUGCCUCAAAAACAGCAACAGAGAGGAGCGAAAUUCCGACCUAGCAAACCUUUACCAAAUCCAGCAAGUAAGGGCUUCGUGGAUUCCUCUCGAAGUCCCGAAUCCAACGAACCAAGUCCCGUCGAAAACCGACGCUCCUACGUCGAGUACGAACUGAAAUACCGACGGUCGACGCUGGAAAUUCUGCAAAUCAGCACCAAGCUCGAAAUGACAAUACUUGAAGCAAUGCAACGGAACACUCACCUCAAAGGCUAAUCGGACAUCGACGCGGCGUCGAGAACGGCGAAAACGCACCCUCGCCUAGCUUCCUCGCAGCGCUACGAUCCCAACCGUACCCUCGAAUGGCUUCGCGACGUGUCGUCGGCGUCGAACUCGUGCUCGCGGCUACCUC